GACGAACGCUGGCGGCGUGCUUAACACAUGCAAGUCGAACGGAAAGGCCCUGCUUUUGUGGGGUGCUCGAGUGGCGAACGGGUGAGUAACACGUGAGUAACCUGCCCUUGACUUUGGGAUAACUUCAGGAAACUGGGGCUAAUACCGGAUAGGAGCUCCUGCUGCAUGGUGGGGGUUGGAAAGUUUCGGCGGUUGGGGAUGGACUCGCGGCUUAUCAGCUUGUUGGUGGGGUAGUGGCUUACCAAGGGUUUGACGGGUAGCCGGCCUGAGAGGGUGACCGGCCACAUUGGGACUGAGGUACGGCCCAGACUCCUACGGGAGGCAGCAGUGGGGAAUAUUGCACAAUGGGCGGAAGCCUGAUGCAGCAGCGCCGCGUGCGUGAUGACGGCCUUCGGGUUGUAAACCGCUUUCGCCUGUGACGAAGCGUGAGUGACGGUAAUGGGUAAAGAAGCACCGGCUAACUACGUG
rnacentral:rRNA from 1 species